UACGUAGGGUGCAAGCGUUGUCCGGAAUUAUUGGGCGUAAAGAGCUCGUAGGCGGUCUGUCGCGUCGGCUGUGAAAACCCGGGGCUCAACCCCGGGCCUGCAGUCGAUACGGGCAGACUAGAGUGCGGUAGGGGAGACUGGAAUUCCUGGUGUAGCGGUGAAAUGCGCAGAUAUCAGGAGGAACACCGAUGGCGAAGGCAGCUCGCUGGGACGGUACUGACGCUGAGGCGCGAAAGCGUGGGGAGCGAACAGG
rnacentral:rRNA from 1 species